rnacentral:lncRNA from 1 species
GUUGACAAAAAGGGUUCCUUCAGUGCUCUGUGAAGCCACAGAGAUUGAUGACUUGAGGCUGUGAGUUGCCAUGUAAACCCAAUAGCAAAGCAAUGAUAGAAUCACCAGAGAACGCAUUAUUUCACACAUGCAACCAAGAAAAAAAAAUAACAAAAAAAUCCCUGCGCUCUCUGUGUGUCACUGUAUUGGUUUGUGAUGAGGAGGCCUUGCAAGUUCUGCAGGCUUGGUUUUAAUGGUGGGAUUGGAUUGGCAUUGGUUGUAAAUUUGUGAAGUUGGUAGAGACAGAUAGUGGAUAGGUACUAUAAAGGAUGGGAAGAUACGACUGGGGAAGCUUGUGAGUGAGUGAGGCACUCAUUUUCGCUUUCAAUAAAGUUACUUUAAUUAGUCUAUGAAGCAUAAAAGAUAAAAGAUAAAACAAUUAAACAAAACUCAAGGUAUUAAAUAUUUAUUUUGGCGAAGAUAUCAAGAGAGUCUGAAAAUACAGAAAUAUUUGAAAAGUUUGAGUAAAUUGUGUUUAAAGAAAAGUAUCAAGGAAAUUUCGUUGAACAAAAAAACAAAAAAGUAAAAAUUUGGAAGAUAUUGGAAGCAUCACGUCAUCACCAAACCCACUAAAGGAGGGAGAAAUUUUUGUGUGGUAAAAACCAGCAACAGCAGCAAGGGUCUCUUUCUAGUCGCUUCUGACGGCUCUUAUAUAAAAACCAAUCAAUUAUGCAACAAUGCUGACGGGAUGUAGCGGAGUGAAAGUGGAUCUUAAUUUGCAAAUAAGUGGUUUUAAAUUUGAAUUUUAUGAUAUCUUAAUAGUGUGUGUAAAAAUUUUCUUCUCUCUUCCUAACUUGGGCAAAAAUAUAAAAGCAACAAUUUUUCCAGCCAUUUCAUAUGAAUAUUCAAUAGCUCUAAUUACAAGCUACUUUCAAAAUCAAUUAUGAGAUGCUUUUCUGUUUGAGAUCAAAUAGGCAACCAAGGCAGGUGAAUCUCUAUUGCGUUUGGUAGUCUUCAGGGGAGGUAGGUCCUCCCUCCUCCAAUCUUUUAGGUACAACCUGGGUAACCCUUCAUUUGGUCAAAGGCUCUAACAACGAUAGGAGUUUGUUAUAGAUGGAUGGGUAAUCAGCUAAUAAUCGUAUUAAACUCUCGAUAUGAGUAAAUAGUCCAUGUCAAGGUUUGGUGUCAAUUUGUAUUGUCUAAUUACCUGACUAUUUUAAACAGGUUGAGCUUUUAAUACUCUCCUUACCUGACUAACUAAUAUACUUUAGUUGAGAUAAUACAUUCUUAAUUAUAAAGCUAGGGAAAAAGAACGCAUGCACUUUCUACGUGAAAAAUCAGAGACGCUAUUUUCAUCUUCUUCUACCUAAGGUUCUUCUUUGCUAUCUUAUCCAUUAGAUGUUCUCUUCACUCUUCUCUAGGUAUUCAUCUCUCUUAUCAUACUCCUCUAAUAUGCUUCUUCUUGCUUCUUCUGUCUUCAUCUUCUCUUUCUUUUUGUACUUCAUGUUUUAUUAAUUUUUUAAAGAAAUUAGGUCAUAAGUUUUUUCUUUUUGACAUUUUUUUUAAAAUCGAAUGUUUAAUUUAAGAAGCAUGUAACACUGGGAUUAGUUGAAAAAAACUUCUCUACUGAUACCCAUGUGAGUGGGAAUUAUUAAUUUGUACGUGGUAUUGAUUCUUGUUUUUCAAGUUUUUUUUUAUAAAUUUUUUAAAAUUGUCUUUUUUCUUUCAAGUGUUACAAAUAUAAUGCGAACUGUGUUGAACAUCUCUCUACUGGCGCAAUUUGUUGCACCUAUAUCUCUUAUAAAGCACAAUACUCUUUGAAGUUCCAUUGUGAGAUUGGAAACUUGAAAUUUGUAGUACCUAGAAUGAGUUUUCCAGUCCUCAGAUGCCCUUGGUGUUACUGAUUUAUUGGUCACAAGUUCUUUUCUGUUAAACAUGUGCUCUUGAUUGCUCAUUUUGUUGAGUUGAGUCUCUUAUCUGGAUAUAUAUUGUCGUCUUUUAUUGGUUAUGUUAUCAAUUCAUUAUCCCCCAACUGUCAGGUCAUCAAAGAAUUAAAAUUAAAAAAAAUUAUCCGAUGUUAUCCUAUGAAGCAUCAAACACAGUAUAACUUAGUCAGACUAUUUAUCUGAAAUAUUACUAAAUGCCUUAUAAUAUUAUGAAUAAAUAAUUAAUACUCUUCGAAACAAAUUAAUAUUAUCUGACAUAAAUUAAUCAAUACAAUAUGAUGUACUAAACCAACCCUUUAGAGGGAGUAACAAGUUCCCAUCUAAAUGAACCCCUUCCUAUAUGAUAGGACAACGCCCGACGAAAAUGAAAAGUAAUUCAUUUGAGUUUGGGAUAGGGUUAAGCUUCAGGGUUGUUUUGGGAUCCAUUGUCUACGACGGGCCUAAAAGUCUGAGGUCUAUGUUUUUAGGCCCAGAUUGGGAGUUCAUGCUUAAAGGGCCUUAGGCUCGGGAUCAUGUGUCUAGGGUUUGGGGUUUCAAGUUUAGAAUUCACGGUUUGGAGUUGGGAUAUUCUUUUUUUUUUCUUUUUUUUUCUCUACAACAAGAGUGAAAUCAAAAGGGGAAAAUUUCACCUGAUGAAAUGCAUAAUUAUUUCUUUGAGACGUGAAUAACAUCUCCUUGUCAUGUUGCAUCUUUCUUUCUAUACAAUGCCGCAUUUAUAUUUUACCAAUGCAUGUGGCCUAAUUACCGCCCAUUUGUCAUUAAAUCAAAUAAUUUACCUUACAUUUCUGUUAUCAUCGAUUAGAUUAGAGUGUUACUAUUUUCACUCUCUAUUAUAUUCUCCCACUCAUCUUAUCUUCCCACCCACUAUUAUUCCUAAAAAAUCCUUUAAUAAUUCAAGCAAACUUUCUUUACUAAUCAUUAGUAACAGUCUUGAUCUCUUGGACUACAGGGGUUCAAGAGAUUUGUGGUCACUCACUGUUGGACGUAAAGUCAACGGUUCACUCCCUCUUGCACUCAUUUUAAGAAACUUUUUUGAACCAUUGGAUUAAUAUCCAACGGUGAGUGACCACAAUCUCUUGAACUCCUGUGGUCCAAGAGAUCGGAACUGUCAUUAGUAAUUGAGAUAUGAAGAGGAUCAAGCAAAUUAAACAUACUAUGUUAAAUGGAUUGGGCUUUUAGGUAGUGUGUCUCCUUACCUAAAUUAAACAGAUUAUUUACUUCUUUUUUAUUUUUUAUUUUAGGAAAGAGAAUUUGCUUGAUCCUCUCCAUAUCUCAACUACUAAUGAUUAGUAAAGAGAAUUUGCUUGAAUGGUAUUUUAAAAAUAAUAGUGAAUAGAAAGAUAUAAUUGUGUUUUUUUCAAAUUUAAUUACAUGAUUGGUGGGGAAAUAGGCACGGUGAAACAACACUCCACUCCUUAUAAAUGGGGUCAGUUUUUUGUAACUUUUUCAUCAUUCAACAGGGCCGGAGAGAAAAAAGAACAUUCUACUGUUUGUCUUCAACCCAAUGGCAACUACCAUGAACUUAGUCUGCGUUGUUUUCCUUUGCAGUCUCAUUGUAGGAGGUAAAGUUUCAUCUCUAUAUUUGUGUAGUUAUUUUAUGCCAUUUCAAAAAAAAUUUUUGGGGGCAAAUUAUACUUACUGACUUACGUGUUUCUUGAUAUAUUGCAGGCAACUGUCAACCUUGCACUGAACAAAAUCUUAAAAUUACACAGUCAAAAACCGGGAAAAUGGUGCAAAAUAAGCCAGAGUGGAAUGUGAAAAUCACGAAUGAUUGCCCAUGUUCUCAACUGGAUGUUAAGCUAAGCUGCGAUGCAUUUCAAACUGUGGAAGACAUUGACUCUUCAAUCUUGAGCAAAUCUGGCAGCGAGUGUCUAGUAAAUAAUGGUCAACCUAUCUAUCCUAAUACGGAUUUCAAUUUCAACUAUGCUUGGGACAAUUCGUUUUCUUUCAAGCCAGUCCACUCCCAAGUUGGUUGUUCUUGAAAAUGAUGUUUGUUUGAAGAGUUUUGGAUUUGGAUGGUUUUGUUUCAGUUUAUUUUCUAAGAAAAAUAAGUGCCUGAAUUUGGGCAACAAUAUAAUGUAACUUAAAAUGUAGGGAGUUGAUUUUCUAACAAGAGUGUAACUGGACCCGAUCCAGGUUAUGAGAACUGGGGUCCGAUAUCACUUACUUAAAUAUAAUGUAUUUCGUAAAGAACCCACUAGUGUAGUGGUUUGGAAUAAUUACUCUCCUAUGCGAGAUCUUGGAUUCAACUUCUAGCAUUCAUAUUGUGUGUAUAAGUUUAGUAUAUUAUCGCCUCUUUCAAUAGGAUGUGCUAAAAGAAUAUAAUGUAUUUAAAACAAAAUCAAAAUAACUAUAUACAAUGGAAUAUUAUGAAUUUGAAAUUUAUUAAUCCCAGAGUAUUAUUUGAGUUGAAACGAAUGCUAACAAUAUACUCAAACAAUUGAAAACGAAUUUAGUGGUUUUUUGUCUAAAAGUAAUUGUCUCCACUUACUUGUAAGAGGUCUCAGGUUCGACUCACAUGAAUAAAUAAAAAAAAUACAUAUUUAUGGUGAAGUCGAUAUCUAAGUGUGGUUACCACAUCAUUCCAUUGCAUUGACUAGAUUCAUGUAUACCUACAUCUUCUUUCUAUACAAUGACUUACCAUUUUGUAUCCAUUUGCUGUAAUAUACCCUCUAUAUCAGUUAUGGUUUGGACAAAAAGAAAAUUACAUAUUCAUGCAUUUAUUUUUCUCACCUUUUUUUAUUAUAAACAGGCCCUUAUAAUUGGUUUGAUUUAUGUAACCCGUGGGUGGAUUUUUUGNNNNNNNNNNNNNNNNNNNNNNNNNNNNNNNNNNNNNNNNNNNNNNNNNNNNNNNNNNNNNNNNNNNNNNNNNNNNNNNNNNNNNNNNNNNNNNNNNNNNCCCUAGGAGUUAAGAUGGUGAGCAAAAAAUAUACCCCAUGUAACCCUUCCAUCAAACAUCAAGGUCAGGCAAGAAAAAGGAAAGAACAUUUUGGUGUUUGUCUCCAAACUAAUGGCAACUAUUGUGAGGUUUCUCUGAUUGGUUUUCUUUUGCAGUCUCAUUGUAGGAGGUAAAGUUUCACCUUUAUAUAUUUGUCACUAUUCCUUAUCGGUCUUGCUCAUAGCAUGACCUAAUAAUUGGUAGUGUCUUGUGUAGUUUAUGCAUUAAGUUGUUGUUUAAUCAUAAUCGUGUGGGUUCUUUUAGAUUAAUAUAACAUUUAGUUGAUAAUUAAGAUUGGUCUCACCUAGUAGAAAUGGACUUAGUCAAGUUGACUAGAACGGAUGUAUUCCCAAUUAUGCACCCGAGUUCGAAUCCUCCUCUCUAAACCCUAAACCAUAUUGAUGAAACUUAGUAACGUGUGUCUUGUCAAUAAUGGCGAACCUAUCGAUACUCAUGCUAAUUUUAGUUUCACCUAUGCUUGGGAUAAUUCGUUUCCUUUUAAGCCAGUCCACUCUCAUGUUGGCUGUUCUUCAAGGAAAAUUAUUGUUUGAAAUUUUGGAUUUGGAUGAUUUAGUAUCCCUUAUAAUGAAUAAGAAGAGCUCAAUUUUGUGAUACAAGUGAGUAAUAUUCUCUUUUUUAAACAUGUUAUAGUAUCAGAUUAUUAAUUUGCAUUCACGUAUUCAAACUUAAAACUUGUUUCAAUAUCAGAAAGAGAAUAUCAAUCUUGACACUAUAACAUAUAUAUAUAAAUAAAUAAAAACCAAUUUAUAUAUGUUUGAAUAUCAAUCUGCAUUCAUGUAUGCUUGGCAUUGAGUUGCAUAUCAUUGGCCUUAUGUUCGAAUUCUCAUAGCAUCUUGAUAGUGUGUGUGAGAGAAAAACUCCCAUUUCUAACUUAACUAACAUGAUAUUGUCCAACCAAUGAUGAACAAUGUAGAUAAUAAAUUUUGUUUUCAUGAACAAGGGGGGAUAAACCCCACAAACAGAAAUGUAGAUAAUUAUUUUAAUUUCUCUAUGUGGAAAUCACAAUAACACAUGGUAUCAUGUAUUAAUCAUGCUUUUGGAAGUUUUUCUCAUCUCUCCUUUUAAUGCAAUUUUAGAAGCCAUUUCUAAAUUUCAGUAUCUUAAAGGUAUUUUCAAAAAGAAAAUAAAAAUCCUAACCCAAAUCCUGAAACAAACCCCCAAAAAAGAAAAUAAAAAUCCUAAUCAGAUUGUGCAUUGAUGUUUUUUUUAAGAGAACCUCAACAGUACGAGGAUUUUAUAUUAAUUAUCAAUGGAAAAAUGAGAGGGACUUGGCUCCUUACUCCAAUUACAAACAUUAUAAAUCAAAGUGUCUAAGGAUUCAAACUAACAAGUCUAUGCACCAUUAUGAUGUUUACAAGUCCUUGUACAUUGAUUUGAAUUUUUUUUUUCUUUCAACAUUCUGGUAGUUGAAUUUUGUAUUUUGUGAUCAAAUAAUGGCAGCAACUGCAAUGAAAUUCCUCUGCGCGGGUUUCCUAAAAUUUACGUCUACAUUUAUCAUUAUCCCUCGCAUUGAAAUGUUGCUCAGAUUUUUUUUUAUUUUAAACGUAAACAUAUUGAUUAGUAUUAUUGCACAUUUUAAUUUGUAUCUUUAUUAUUUUUCUCUUACAUAUUAAUGCAGGUAAUUGUGAAAACUGUUUCUAGUUAAAUGUUAAAAUUGAAAACAAGGGUUAAAAACAUGCUCCAUGGGUAAAAAUUAGGACUAAACUGAAAAUCAAAUUUCCAUGGAUUAAAAAUGGUUUUUUAUUUUUAUUUUUUUAUGAUAAGCGAUAGAAUAUUAUUGAUGUAAAAAAGGUAAUACAAGAAGUUUGAACUCGUAUCAAGGGCAAAAGAAAUUCCUCGGUCACGAAUUACAAUCUUCGUACAAUAUGUCAGAAAUAAAAUCAGGAGGUUCCUCGAACCAGUAUAAAGAACCCCCAAUAUGCAAGGCAAAACGGGCUAAACGAUGAGCCACACCAUUAGCAGUACGACGAAUAUGGGUAAAACCUUCCCCAGUGAUCUGUGUCAGCAAGCUCUUGGUAUCCUCCACCACAGGUCCUAUGACGGACCUAUCUAUGGAGUGAUUUCGAAGUGCUGUAACGAUCUGGAGAGCAUCACUUUUAAAGACAACAUUUUGAUAACCCCUUUCCAUCGCUAAUAUUGUACCUGUUCUUGCAGCCAAGGCCUCUACUUGUGACGCAGAGAAAACAUUAGUCAAUUUAGUUGCACAACCCGCCACAAAUUUGCCCGUGGAGUCUCUCAUGCUAAAAUAUGAAAACUAUGAGAGAAUAUUUGUUUGUGGGAAUUUUCUGUGUAUUCUUCUCCUUGUAGGAGGUUAUAUUUAUAAUACAACGAAACCUGAAUGGGCAAGUAAAUAAUAAAUUCCUAAAUCUAUUUGCAGUAGGAAAUCAGGAAUUAAAGUAAAUCAAUUACAAUUAUAAUAGGAAUUCUUGGUGUGUAAGGAAAGUAAGUCAAUAUCCACAAGUCACGCCAACACUCCCCCUCAGUUGGUGCAUAGAUGUCGCCAAUGCCCAACUGAUCUAGUGAAUUGUGGAAUGCUUUACUGGAAAUCGCAUUUGUCAAAAUAUCCGCCAAUUGAUCCUCGGAUUUCACAAAAUGCGCAAUCUGGUCCAUGUGUCGGGGUCGUUAGUCGAGAAGUCAUAAUCUGUGCAGCGGAAGAUGCAUAGGAUACAGUUGAGUAGGAAUUGGGAUCGGAAUAUGAGCCUGAGUCAAGGCCGGAGUCAGAGUUGAAAUCGGGAUCAGGGUCUGAAUCAGAGCCAAAUUCGAGGUUGGGGUCAUCAUCGGAGUGGGGGUCGGGGUCGUCUUCGGAGUUGGGGUCGGGGUCGGGGUCGAGGUCAUCUUCGGAGUCGGGGUCGGGGUCGUCUUCGGAGUCGGGGUCGGGGUCGGGGUCGUUGUCGUCAUAGUCGGAGUCGGGGUCGGGGUCAUCAAAAGAGGAUCCUGAUUCUGGAUUAGGUUCGGGGUAAAAGUCUGCAUCUGUAGGAGCGGAGCCAUCUGGGCACUCAACUCAACGAUGGUUGGUGGGGAAUGAGAGAAUGAGUCGGUGGUGCUACCUCUAUGAGGGUUGAAAAAAUCAUCAACCCCCAUAACACUAAAUAAAAUAAUCUCUAUUACAAUAGGACAAAAUAUAAUUGGUAAGUAACCAAAAUUCUAAUGAAAUAAGGACUCGCCAACACUCCCCCUCAAGUUGGGCAAAGAUAUUUCGCAGGCCCAACUUGACAAGCGAGUCACAUGACACCAUACUUGAGAAACACCAAUUGUAGAGAAGAUCUUUUAGUCAACCACGAGUGAAACAAGUGACAAACUAAAACAAAGUUCACAGCGGAAACACAAGAGCAAACCCUAAAAAAAUAGGGCACAUAGCAAAACACAGAAACCCUGUGAGCACGGGUGUAGAUAAGGCAGAACACAGAAACCCUGUGAGCACGGUAGUAGAUAAGGCAGAACACAGAAACCCUGUGAGCACAACAAUUGAUAAGGCAGAACACAGAAACCCUGUGAGCACGACAAUAGGUAAGGCAGAACACAGAAACCCCAUGAGCACGGCAGUGGCAACAAUAAAUUCUUCCAUAUAAACUUUAGUUAAUUCACUCAGACACAACUUCUCUUCAAUCUUCCUCUCCCCUUAAAGAGAAGGGGUCGUCGGAGUCAAGAAAUAAGCAACAUCUUCAUGGAAAUAUGUCAAGGUAAUUGGGAUAGGUCAAUAAACAUAUCCCUUUCACUCCCCCUCCCCCCCCUCUCAAGGGGGGAGAAGAGCACUUAAAUUUCAAGAAGAACACAAGCACAGGUCCCUAGAUCGAACCAGGCUCUGAUACCAUGCUAAAAUAUGAAAACUAUGAGAGAAUAUUUGUUUGUGGGAAUUUUCUGUGUAUUCUUCUCCUUGUAGGAGGUUAUAUUUAUAAUACAACGAAACCUGAAUGGGCAAGUAAAUAAUAAAUUCCUAAAUCUAUUUGCAGUAGGAAAUCAGGAAUUAAAGUAAAUCAAUUACAAUUAUAAUAGGAAUUCUUGGUGUGUAAGGAAAGUAAGUCAAUAUCCACAAGUCACGCCAACAUCUCACAACCACACCAACGCCACCCUCCGUGGUCCCUGGCUUCCAAGCACCAUCCACAUUUAUUUUAAGACUGUUCUCAUGUGGUGGUUGCCACAUUUUUUGUUUUAUUUGACCUUGCCUACUUUGAGACCCCAAGCAAUUACUAACCCGCAAAAAAUCUUGUAGCCUCAGAGAUGCAUGCAAGCUGACUUGUUCAGGCCGACUUUUCUUAUUAUUCCAUAGCAAUCCAUUACGUGCUUCCCAAAUUGCCCAACCCACCAUGAGAAAAGUUGCAAAGUCUUGAGAGCUUAGUUGCUCUGCACAGCGAAAUACCCAAUCCUUGGGUGAAUGAGCACCAUUGUUCCACCUGCUACUACUUAAUGUCGAACUACGCCAAGCACAGAUUGCAAACGGGCAGUCACGAAGGAUAUGAAUUGAAGAUUCGACUGGGCCCUCACAUAACAUACAUUCCUCAUCUAGAGACACCUUUUUUCGUGCCAAAUUUGCUUUCGUAGGUAAUAUUCCAGAGAUAACACGCCACCAGAAAGUCUUGACUCUAGCUGGCACAAUAGCUUUCCAAAGUAGAGACCAAUUCCUAGCGACUGCAUCUGAAUUUGAGGAGGAUGCCCUGCCAGUAGAGGAAUGCAACGAUCUGGCUACGUGGUAGGCACUCUUAACUGUGAACAUACCUUUUUUAUCAUAAUGCCACACUAACAUAUCGGGUGUCAGACGCAGACUUAGCGGGAUAGAGCGAAUGAGCAUCACUUCUUCAGGAAAGAAAACAUUUUGCAGCAGUGAGGCAUUCCAUUCCCUUGAGUCGCCAUGAAUUAAGUCUGAUACUUUUGUGAUAGCACUGUGCUCAGGCCUGGGAGAGAAGAUCCGAAAGCUAUUGGGUUGUGGCAACCACCUUAAGUACAAAUUGGGAUACCAAAGGGUCUAGCUGAGCGGAAAAUGGUCUUUAUUUAAAGACCAAUAUGAUCAACUUCAUGACACUUUAAUAGUAUCCGUGUAUAAGAAAGCCUCUCUCCUCCCUUCUACUUAAAUAAAUAAAAAAUCCGACAAAAAAAAUACAAAAUGGGAUCUUAAUGGUCAACUAUCAUUUAAUAAAGGUCUUUAAUUUUUUUAUUGUAUAGAAACUAGAAAAUAAGGGUAUUUUUUGCUCUGGCAUGAAAGUAAACGAGUAUCAAAUUAAAAAUAAUUAUUUAUUAUUUAUUAUUUAUUUAAUCGGAGCCUGCGCCUCAAGCGGGUAUAGGAAAACUUAAUUCUAUUCUCUCACUUAUUAUGGUAAAUUCUUAUCAUAGUUCUUAUGGAGAAACUCUUCAAAUGCACCGCCACAAAAAUAGUAUUAUAUUUUUUUAUGGGUCUUGAUUUGGUUUAAGCUAAUAAUAUAAAAUAAUUGUAAUAUUUCUUACCAUGUUAAUAUUUUGUUAUUAUAUAUAUAUGUGUGUGUGUGAGGUUGACUUACCAGACCACAUAAUUUGGCAAAAGUGAGAGGCAGCAACUAGGUGCAAUGGCAAGUACCAGUCUCAACCUAUUUUCAGCUAUUCUCCUGCUCAUCCUUCUUAGCAAAGGUAAGAAACAAUGAAGUAUUUUUUCUUCCGGCGAUUUUAGCACUCUCAGUUUAACAUCUAACGCUCCAAACUGAAUAUUUUAUAAUAUUUGUACGCUUAAACUUUUGUGGUUUAUAAUUUCUUAUUAUCAUUUAUCAAUCUAUUUUUAUCACAGGCAUGAGCCAAAAGUGCUCUACAAAUGACCUGCAAAUUAGCCAAGACAAAACUGGGGUUUUGGUGCAAGCAAAGCCAGAAUUUGAGGUGAAGGUUCUGAAUGCAUGCCCAUGUCUUCAAGGGAAUGUGAAAUUAGGCUGCGAUGGAUUUCAAACAACUGAAGAAGUCAACCCUUUGUCAUUGCUCAAAUCUGGGAAUGAGUGUCUCCUCAACAAUGGCUCAUCUCUUAUACCAUUUUCUCAGAUUAGUUUCAAAUAUGCUUGGGACACACAAUUCUCAUUCAAGCCAGUUUCCUCUGAGAUCAACUGUAAUUGAUUGAGGAGAGAGAAUUUGUGCUUUGAUUUUUUGUUCCGCAUACUUAGGUCAAUUUAUUAUUUAUAGAUCAAGAAGGAAAAAAAAAAUGUAUUGUUGGUCCGUUGAACAUUUGGGUUAUACGAUUCUUUCCCAACUCAUAAUUUUGUUUUGAGAUUGAUUCCAAAAUAAUUACAAUAAAUAGAAAAUUAAAUAUUAAUCCAAAAGCUCAAGCAUUCAUUAGGCAAAUCCAUGUGUUUUUUUUAGACAAAAAUCCACGUGUUCUUUAGGAUCAAUUUAGGCCCAUUUUUUAGGUUUAUAUCAAAAAAAUUAUUAAUGACCAUGCGGAUAAGCCAGUCAGUUUUUUUAGAACUCAACUACACAACGCUGAAAUUUUAAAGAACAAAAAGAGACCUUUAAAUCUAGAAAAAAUGAAAGACCUCUCAAGAGUUUCCGAAGAUGAAGGAACCAACUUGCUUCAUGGUGAUGCGCAAGCAAAUAAGAGUCCUGAGGAGAAUAGAAAAAAGAAGGAGAAAAAAAAAAAGAAUUUGCUUGAAUUAAUAAUUAAAGGGUAUUUUAGGACUAAUGAUGGGUGAAAAAAUAGGAUUUUGUAUUUUUAAAUUUAUAUGGUGGGUGGAGAAAUAUGAUGGGGUGGAAAUAGUAGCACUCUUUUUCUAUUAUUCUCAAAUUUAUUUCUUUGUAAUUGAUUGAGUAAUAAAUCAUGAGUGCUGCUAUUUCCACCCACUUUCCUAUUUUCCCACCUUUCUUAUCUUCAAAAAUUUAUAAACAAAUUUACCCCUUUAUAAAAUGACUUCUAAGGACUUAGGGAAAAACUUCAAACCUAAAAUAAAAACUCAAUUUCAUAAGAAUUAAAAAAAAAAAAAUUCCAUAAUUAAACAAAGAAACGCCAAACUGUAGCUCUUUUUUUCAUAUUCAUCAUGGCUUUCCCAUAUGAUUAACAGUUCUUGGCAAUCCCUAAUGUUCAAUCCUGCAAAUAUGGACACCUGGGUUCCCACAUGUACUUAUUAUUGUAGCAAGUUAUUUUGAUUUUGCAUCAUUUAAACUUAUAAUCAAAUUCAAAUUAAACGAACCCAGCCCCUAAAAAAAAUAUUCUACAGUUAAAUGGACACCAAAAAAAAAAAACUUUACAGUGACAAAACAGACAAGAAAAAUCAAUCUACAAGGGAUCAAAAGAAUAAAGCACAAAGAAAAUAUAACUCCCCAAUAUUGAGGGGGGUAGACGCUUGUAGAGAAAGGAAGAAGAACAAAUAAGAGGAAGAAAGGCAUUAAACUUGGCGCUUAUUUAGGAUUUUUUUAAUUUUUUAAUUUACGUUUUUUUAGGAAAUAUAUAUUUGUAUGUUUUAAUUAUGAGAAAACCCAAACUACAGAGAAUUUAAUUGAAUUAAUAAUUAAAUAGCAAUUUAGGAAUAAUGGUAAAUAGAAAGAUAAGAUUGUGUUUUUCAAUUUUACAUGAUGAGUGGGAAGAUAACAUAAAUAAAAAAAUAGGACAUGAAUUGAAAAUAGCAGCACUCAAAUCAUGCAAAUUGAAAAUAGGAUAUGAUUUUCUUCCUUCAAAACAACCUUGGUCUUAGAGCUUGCGGCAAAUUGUGGGUCUUCUUCUACCAAUUGGGUUCAUUUUCUUAUUGAAUUAGAUUUAGAGCCUAAAGGUCCAUCUCCUCAUUGAUCAUAAAUUGUUGUUUACCAGUAUGCUUGUGAAUGGUUGAUGAAAUUAACAAGUCAACUUGUUGAUACAAGCAGCACAGGGGCAAAGAGAAGUCACAUGAAUGCUCUUAAUUACUUGAAUUAUAAAUUGUAAAUUUAGAAUAUUAAUCUCUUUUUAUGUGGAGCAUUGUUGUACUACAGACCAUUUAGCUAAUUAAUAAAAUAACUGACUUUUAAUAUACAAAUAUUAAAACAUUUGGGGCCCGUUGUUAAAGGGCCAAGGCCCAUGGCCGGCCUUGGUUAUAAAUGGUUACCAAAUUAAUUACUAUUCAAGGACUUAGAAGGAUUAAUUAUCAUAAAAUUAGUGAAAAAUAAUGUCCUAUAAAAAUAAGGAAUUAUUAUUUACACUCAAAAAACAAUUCCAUGCACUACUUUCUUAUAAAAAUAAAUUGCAAAUAAAAGAGUGAAUUAUAAAAAAAAUAAAAAAAAAUUUGGAGUGACAAUGAAAAUAUAUUAUGGUCAACUAAAAUAAAUAAAUAUGUUACAUGCUCUGUUUUUGGUUGCAUAACAAAACACCCCCAAAAAAAAAACAAUGUAUCUCUUUAAGGUGUUGACCACCAUAUUUAUGUCAUUAGAACAAAGCAAAUAUUGAAAGAUGUAAUUUCAGAGCGGAUUUAUGGCGUUACCAAAGUCAUCUGUUAGAAUUCAUAAUCCAGUGAAUAUAAAUAAGAACAUAAUCCACCACCUAAGUAUCUCAUCACUGAAAUAUUUCUUAACAAUGGAAGCCAUUGCCAAGUCCUUCGUUCUGGUUCUUCUUUUGAGUCUCGUUAGCAAAGGUAAAAGUAGUAAUGUAGUGUUUUUAUCUAUUGAUUUACUUCGGCAUCCGAAGUGCAUCUCAAAUUAUCUAAAUUUGAGACAACUCCUCUAUAAUAAAAUUCUUGCAUAUGCACCGUAAAUUUAAGACAACUUCUCUAUAGUAAAAUUCUUCCAUGCAACGAGUGUAUAUAAAGACGGUUUUUCUUAUAGCAAGGUUUCACAUAUUUCCUUCAUCAAAAUUGCAGGGUUUUGUGCUUGCACUUUGAACAACAUUAACAUUGGCACCACCAGAAGUGGGAGAGAGAUAGGAGGCAAGCCAGAAUGGAAUGUGGUUGUGACCAACAACUGCGCAUGUGCUCAAACGUCCAUAGUUUUGAGCUGCAAAGGGUUCCAGACUACAGAGCCUGUUGAUCCAGCAAUCCUGAAAAAGCAAGGUAACGUGUGCCGCCUCAUCAUGGGCAAUCUCUUGGAUGCUGGUGCUUCUGUGAAAUUCUCCUAUGCUUGGGAUCCUCCUUUCCUUCUAUUGCCUAGCUCCUCUGUUAUUAGUGGUGGCUGUUAAUGAGAGGAGGCUAGAAAAAAGUUUGAAGCUUUUGAAAAAAGUGAUUUGAAUUCAACUCGGGAUUUUCGUUUCUAAUCUAAUGUAACAAAAUCAGAUAUUUACAUGCUGCAAUAAUAUGUAAUAAUGCCCAGUUAUUUACAUUAUUUACAAGCUCCCAGUUUGACUGUAUAAUGACAAUAUUUUUGGAUUAUGCCCCCUUCAUAUUAUAAAAAAUAGGAAAUUGUGUAACAUAUUGACAGACACCCGACGCAAAUUUGACUUAAUCUAGCCAACAUUUUUGUUUAGAGAAUCCAUCUAUCGUGUUAUGGGAUCCGAAUCCUCUUCUAGGAUCUAAUUGGCUUUAAUUCUAAGCAUGCCACAUCAGUUAAGUUUCAUUCGAAGGCUAAAAACGUGACCCAUCCACGUAUUUUCUCUUCACUCUUCUAUGCAUUAGCUGCAGAAAACACAAUAUGACGUUGUGCCUACAUUUGAGGAGACAAACACAAGUUUUCAAACGGGAGAAGAGCUGCUUUUGAGAGAAAAAUGUCCAGUUCUUUGCAGCUAAAAUGGUGAAGAAGACUGAAGGGAACAGAUGCACUGUCACUUUUUUAGAUUUUUGAUGAGUUUUAAUAAAAACUAGAGGAAACCCAAGAAGAUCGGAAUCCCAUGUUACAUAUUUGACCAUCUACCAACACAAUCAGAUAGAGCUUUGUGAUUUAGCAGCCAAAUGUUUAAAGUAUCCCAUAAAUUGGCAUUGUCAUUUCCAUCCGCAGAGAGAGAGAUAUAUAUAUUAAAGGUGUAGAACUAAGAAUUUUGAUAGCUUAGAGAACAAGUACAGUGAACAUUUCUACCAUAUGUGGACAUGCCACCUAAAUUACUCAACUCCUACAAACCCAAAUUCCCGGUAACCAGAAAAGGCAGCAAAGUUAAAAGAAACAAUGAAAAACUUCAUUUCCUCCUCUUAGCAGGUGGCUGAGGUAUCUCUUCCUCCUCAUCUUCCUCAUCCUCUUCAUCGUCCUCAGUGUCUUCCUCCCCAUCAUCACCGUCAUCAUCAUCGUCGUCAUCGUCAUCAUCAUCAUCAUCAUCACCAUCCUCCUCGCUCACACCAUCACCAUUGGCCUCAGGCUCGUCUUCUGGAUUUGCUUUACCCUCAUUCUCUUCCCCAGAGGCAUCAUCCGCAUCACCUCCAUCAUCAUCCUGGUCAUCACCAGCAGCAGCAUCAUCAUCAUCAUCGUCGUCGUCGUCGUCGUCGUCCUCAGUUUCACUUGCAUCUUUGUUCUCUGGACCAGGUUUUUCCACUGCAAAAAGCUCAGUGAUAGGAAAUCUGCAGACAAAAAAAUUGGCUUCACUGACUUCCCCAUCAAAGAAAGACAACAUUAAAUGACGAAAAAAGAAGUCACAACACUAACCCUGUGAGUUCCUCAGGUUCUUUGGGAAAAACAGUGGUUGUGUUAGGAAUAGAUCCCAUCUGGAAAACCAUAACUCAUGGUGAACGAAGAUAAAAGGAAGAAUUAAGUAUUUUGCUUAACAAGUAUGUAGAAAAAGUUAAAGGCAGAGGCUAAAAGAGCAACAAGGUGAAACUAGUAUAAAAUCAUGUAGCUGCAUGAUAACUCAGGCCACACGAACACAGAGGGUCAGAAAAAGUUUAGCUUGAAUGGUCACUAAGCUUCAUUUACUCAGUCUUAAAAGGGGAACUUUUUAUCAAUUGUUGGAACUAUAAUCAAUGACUACUUCAUUUUCAGCAAAGAGAUGGAGAAUGCCUCCAGCCAAUAACAAGAAUUUUCAUAUUUCAAUCCACAACAGCAUGAAAAACGAAGCAAACUUAAAUGUUCCAGCAACAAAAAUCAAACUAAAAAAAUAAAAAAAACAUCACCCUCUCAUUUGCCUAAUUCUUCAACUUCUCUUUGGUAUGAGCCUACCUAAACAACACUCUGUCUCAUCCAGAGGACAUAUUUCAAAGUAAAAGUGAUAAUGAGAACAAGCAGUUACUUAGCAUAUCAAUUCUAUCACAGAUAAUCCGAGAUAAUCAAGGGGUAUGCAUCGAUCAGGCCAUCAUAUAAUUCAACCCACAAAAUAAAAUUUAUUCUGUCAUAUUUCCAGGUAAGAAUGAUUCAAAAUUUGACAAGGUUUGCUCCACAGGCAAUUCAAAGUCAAACUCUAUACAAAGGGCAUAUUUAAAUUUAAAAAGCAUAUCCUCUCCCAAUCUCCUCUUCUUUCAAGUUUAUAUAGCCUGCCUAUUUACUUUGGGGGGAAAAAACCUUUUUUUUUUUUUUUACUUUGGUACUAAGCCAGUUCAAGUUUGAAUCAGCAGGAAAAUUUUCAGCAAAUUAUAAAUACAGUAAUUAAGACCCCACACCAUCAAAGCUCUUAUAAAGAUAUGACAAAAAACUAAGAUUUGGGAAAGAUAUAUCUAAAAAUUGAAAACAAAAAAGCAUCUCAUAAAAUUCUUAUAGUCCUAAAUAGAGUAAAAACUAUGAAAAGCUUAGGGAGUGAAAGAAUCAUCGCAAACAUAAAAGCAAAAAAAAACCCCAAAAAUCCAGACAAAGCCUAAGCCACAUAUGGAAGAAAACCAAGUUCUUUAAGUACAAAAUAACAAAAAAAAACAAAACCCCAAAUACUCAGAGAAACCCCAAUGCACUAGACCAAACAAAACCAAGUAAAAGCAUAAAAUUGAGAACUUACAACCAGGAAAAAAAUAUUAAAAACAUUUUAGAAAAACAUGUUGAUGCAAAA